GGUGACUGCGUACCUUUUGUAUAAUGGGUCAGCGACUUAUUUUCAGUGGCGAGCUUAACCGAAUAGGGGAGGCGUAGCGAAAGCGAGUCUUAAUAGGGCGUCUAGUCGCUGGGAAUAGACCCGAAACCGGGCGAUCUAUCCAUGGGCAGGUUGAAGGUUGGGUAACACUAACUGGAGGACCGAACCGACUACCGUUGAAAAGUUAGCGGAUGACCUGUGGAUCGGAGUGAAAGGCUAAUCAAGCUCGGAGAUAGCUGGUUCUCCUCGAAAGCUAUUUAGGUAGCGCCUCAUGUAUCACUGUAGGGGGUAGAGCACUGUUUCGGCUAGGGGGUCAUCCCGACUUACCAAACCGAUGCAAACUCCGAAUACCUACAAGUGCCGAGCAUGGGAGACACACGGCGGGUGCUAACGUCCGUCGUGAAAAGGGAAACAACCCAGACCGUCAGCUAAGGUCCCAAAGUUAUGGUUAAGUGGGAAACGAUGUGGGAAGGCUUAGACAGCUAGGAGGUUGGCUUAGAAGCAGCCACCCUUUAAAGAAAGCGUAAUAGCUCACUAGUCGAGUCGGCCUGCGCGGAAGAUGUAACGGGGCUCAAACCAUACACCGAAGCUACGGGUAUCACGUAAGUGAUGCGGUAGAGGAGCGUUCUGUAAGCCUGUGAAGGUGAGUUGAGAAGCUUGCUGGAGGUAUCAGAAGUGCGAAUGCUGACAUGAGUAACGACAAUGGGUGUGAAAAACACCCACGCCGAAAGACCAAGGUUUCCUGCGCAACGUUAAUCGACGCAGGGUUAGUCGGUCCCUAAGGCGAGGCUGAAAAGCGUAGUCGAUGGAAAACAGGUUAAUAUUCCUGUACUUCUGGUUAUUGCGAUGGAGGGACGGAGAAGGCUAGGCCAGCUUGGCGUUGGUUGUCCAAGUUUAAGGUGGUAGGCUGAGAUCUUAGGUAAAUCCGGGAUCUUAAGGCCGAGAGCUGAUGACGAGCUAACUUUUAGUUAGCGAAGUGGUUGAUGCCAUGCUUCCAAGAAAAGCUUCUAAGCUUCAGGUAACCAGGAACCGUACCCCAAACCGACACAGGUGGUUGGGUAGAGAAUACCAAGGCGCUUGAGAGAACUCGGGUGAAGGAACUAGGCAAAAUGGCACCGUAACUUCGGGAGAAGGUGCGCCGGUGAGGGUGAAGGACUUGCUCCGUAAGCUCAUGCCGGUCGAAGAUACCAGGCCGCUGCGACUGUUUAUUAAAAACACAGCACUCUGCAAACACGAAAGUGGACGUAUAGGGUGUGACGCCUGCCCGGUGCCGGAAGGUUAAUUGAUGGGGUUAGCUAACGCGAAGCUCUUGAUCGAAGCCCCGGUAAACGGCGGCCGUAACUAUAACGGUCCUAAGGUAGCGAAAUUCCUUGUCGGGUAAGUUCCGACCUGCACGAAUGGCGUAACGAUGGCGGCGCUGUCUCCACCCGAGACUCAGUGAAAUUGAAAUCGCUGUGAAGAUGCAGUGUAUCCGCGGCUAGACGGAAAGACCCCGUGAACCUUUACUAUAGCUUUGCACUGGACUUUGAAUUUGCUUGUGUAGGAUAGGUGGGAGGCUUUGAAGCGUGGACGCCAGUUCGCGUGGAGCCAUCCUUGAAAUACCACCCUGGCAACUUUGAGGUUCUAACUCAGGUCCGUUAUCCGGAUCGAGGACAGUGUAUGGUGGGUAGUUUGACUGGGGCGGUCUCCUCCUAAAGAGUAACGGAGGAGUACGAAGGUGCGCUCAGACCGGUCGGAAAUCGGUCGUAGAGUAUAAAGGCAAAAGCGCGCUUGACUGCGAGACAGACACGUCGAGCAGGUACGAAAGUAGGUCUUAGUGAUCCGGUGGUUCUGUAUGGAAGGGCCAUCGCUCAACGGAUAAAAGGUACUCCGGGGAUAACAGGCUGAUACCGCCCAAGAGUUCAUAUCGACGGCGGUGUUUGGCACCUCGAUGUCGGCUCAUCACAUCCUGGGGCUGAAGCCGGUCCCAAGGGUAUGGCUGUUCGCCAUUUAAAGUGGUACGCGAGCUGGGUUUAGAACGUCGUGAGACAGUUCGGUCCCUAUCUGCCGUGGACGUUUGAGAUUUGAGAGGGGCUGCUCCUAGUACGAGAGGACCGGAGUGGACGAACCUCUGGUGUUCCGGUUGUCACGCCAGUGGCAUUGCCGGGUAGCUAUGUUCGGAAUAGAUAACCGCUGAAAGCAUCUAAGCGGGAAACUAGCCUCAAGAUGAGAUCUCACUGGAACCUUGAGUUCCCUGAAGGGCCGUCGAAGACUACGACGUUGAUAGGUUGGGUGUGUAAGCGCUGUGAGGCGUUGAGCUAACCAAUACUAAUUGCCCGUGAGGCUUGACC
rnacentral:rRNA from 1 species